rnacentral:tRNA from 1 species
GAGAGUAUAACUCAGUGGUAGAGCGCAUGCUUAGCAUGCACAAGGUCCUGGGUUCAAUUCCCCAGUACCUCCA